rnacentral:lncRNA from 1 species
UUGCACUGUUCUAUGCAUUUUUUGCUGUGACUCAUAUAUAUUAGAGAUCUAAUUAGAUAAAUAUAGGCAUAGAAGGCAUCAGGAAUUACCAAUGGAUAACUACAAUUAUGACAUGCACAUUGUUCCUUCGAGCUUCCUCGUACAUCUCCCUCUUACUCUAAUGCCUGUACAUCUCCCUCUUACUCUAAUGCCUGGACGUGACUAUGGCAUGAAACAUCGGAUGGGCUCGUACAAGCAUACAGUCAUGAACUAGAAAUCUGAGGAUGACAAUUUUAUCCAUGGACACGGAUAUCCGCGGAUACCCAACCCGGAUGGAGAGGGUUUGGAUACAAUUUUACACCCAUGGACAUUGUCCAAACCCGACCCGACUAAUUAUGGAUAGGGCAUGUAUAUAAUUUUAUACCCGUGGAUAUACCCGAACCCGACCCGUAAGUGUAUAUACCCUGUACGUUAUAUUUAUAUAUAAUAAAAAAUCAAAAGAAAUUUACCCAAUCCCCACUAAUCCCCACAAAGGAAUUACUCCACGUCUCCUCCAGCCCACCGCUCCUUUUCCCAAUCCAC